rnacentral:piRNA from 1 species
UGGGAAAUAACCACAAUGGGCAAAGCUC